CGCGUAGGCGGGAUGGCAAGUCGGUCGUGAAAUCCCUCGGCUCAACUGAGGAACGUCGAUCGAUACUGCCGUUCUUGAGGAUUGCAGAGGAGACUGGAAUUCCCGGUGUAGCGGUGAAAUGUGUAGAGAUCGGGAGGAACACCGGUGGCGAAGGCGGGUCUCUGGGCAAUUCCUGACGCUGAGGCGCGAAAGCGUGGGAGCAAACG
rnacentral:rRNA from 1 species